GUAGGUGAACCUGCGGAAGGAUCAUUACAGAGUUCAUGCCCUUACGGGUAGAUCUCCCACCCUUGAAUAUAUUACCUUUGUUGCUUUGGCAGGCCGCGUUUACGCCAGAGGCUUCGGCUUUUGAGCGCCUGCCAGAGGACCACAACUCUGUUUUUAGUGAUGUCUGAGUACUAUAUAAUAGUUAAAACUUUCAACAACGGAUCUCUUGGUUCUGGCAUCGAUGAAGAACGCAGCAUCUGACUGACUCGGG
rnacentral:misc_RNA from 1 species